CUUCGACAUCCUCUCGACAAUCCUAGAGAUAGGACGUCCCCUUCGGGGGCAGAGUGACAGGUGGUGCAUGGUUGUCGUCAGCUCGUGUCGUGAGAUGUUGGGUUAAGUCCCGCAACGAGCGCAACCCUUGAUCUUAGUUGCCAGCAUUCAGUUGGGCACUCUAAGGUGACUGCCGGUGACAAACCGGAGGAAGGUGGGGAUGACGUCAAAUCAUCAUGCCCCUUAUGACCUGGGCUACACACGUGCUACAAUGGACAGAACAAAGGGCAGCGAAACCGCGAGGUUAAGCCAAUCCCACAAAUCUGUUCUCAGUUCGGAUCGCAGUCUGCAACUCGACUGCGUGAAGCUGGAAUCGCUAGUAAUCGCGGAUCAGCAUGCCGCGGUGAAUACGUUCCCGGGCCUUGUACACACCGCCC
rnacentral:rRNA from 1 species